GAUGAACGCUGGCGGCGUGCCUAAUACGUGCAAGUCGAACGCAUAGCGAAAGGUGCUUGCACCUUUCAAGUGAGUGGCGAACGGGUGAGUAACACGUGGACAACCUGCCUCAAGGCUGGGGAUAACAUUUGGAAACAGAUGCUAAUACCGAAUAAAACUUAGUGUCGCAUGACACAAAGUUAAAAGGCGCUUCGGCGUCACCUAGAGAUGGAUCCGCGGUGCAUUAGUUAGUUGGUGGGGUAAAGGCCUACCAAGACAAUGAUGCAUAGCCGAGUUGAGAGACUGAUCGGCCACAUUGGGACUGAGACACGGCCCAAACUCCUACGGGAGGCUGCAGUAGGGAAUCUUCCACAAUGGGCGAAAGCCUGAUGGAGCAACGCCGCGUGUGUGAUGAAGGCUUUCGGGUCGUAAAGCACUGUUGUAUGGGAAGAACAGCUAGAAUAGGAAAUGAUUUUAGUUUGACGGUACCAUACCAGAAAGGGACGGCUAAAUACGUG
rnacentral:rRNA from 1 species